AUACGGAGGGGGCAAGCGUUGUUCGGAAUUACUGGGCGUAAAGGGCGCGUAGGCGGGCUGGUUAGUUGGGGGUGAAAUCCCAGGGCUCAACCCUGGAACUGCCCUCAAUACUGCCAGUCUUGAGUUCGAGAGAGGUAAGUGGAAUUCCUAGUGUAGAGGUGAAAUUCGUAGAUAUUAGGAAGAACACCAGUGGCGAAGGCGGCUUACUGGCUCGAUACUGACGCUGAGGCGCGAAAGCGUGGGGAGCAAACAGGAUUAGAAACCCGAGUAGUCC
rnacentral:rRNA from 1 species